GGCUGUCUAUCUGCAAUGAGUUAAGCUGAUGCUGGAUGUGGUGCUCCCACAGGCUCCACCAAGAAGGAUCUUUCCACAGUGUCAGCUGAGUCAGAUAACAAGCUCCCUAAGGAUUCCAUCCCUGCCAGGCAAUACUUUCCUGUUCCUCCUGCAUUUGGAAGACUUCCCAGCCCAAGGUUGGAGGAAUUGUGCUCAUGUCUUGUGCCACCUGCAAAAAGGUAUUGAAAUGGAAAAAAACCCCUCCGUUUUACUCUGUCCUUCAUCUCUGAAGCACAUCAAAGCCUGACUGAAUUCUCUGUGUGAAGGGAGGAAGAGAAGCACUGGAUGACAGUAUUGGGCUGCUAUUUAGACAAAGUAGAAGAGGAAUAGGUCUGAACCAUCUGCCUGUACUUGGCUUAUGUCUAACUUCACUGUUUAACAGGAAUACAGCUGCAAAAACUUAUAUGGACACAUUUUCUUGAGAAGGUAACCAACCACCAUGGACUCCUUUAUUCUUUGCUGUCAAAAGGAGAGGUAGAAGUUAUCGUAAAGAAGUAAAAAGGAUAGACCUAAAUAUUAAAUUAGGUGCUAAAUGGAGAUCUGACAUGAGUUCAUCCUCCAAAGGGUACCAGAUAGCCCUAAAAGAUAGUUCUCAGCUUCAGUAGAAAUCAUGGAUAUGUCAGAUAAUGGAAAUGGUCUUCUCUGGGAACUACAACUGCCAGUUUUCCAGUUGACAAUAUGAGUGAAUACUUGGGUAAUUUACUUGAUAUUUUAUUGACAAAUUAUUUUUACAUAUCUAGUAAAUAAAAACUUAUCUCUGAAGGUUUGAGCUAUUAUU
rnacentral:lncRNA from 1 species